ensembl:lncRNA
ACAGCCUGCUGCUGGCAAUUGACAGGUAAUGGAAAAAUAUAAUAUUAGUACACAAAGUCAUAAAAUAAUAAAAUGCAUUAUCACUACUAUUUCUAUAGUUAUUUUUAGGGGUGCUAUGAUGUAAUUUAGGGAUGUUUGACCCCAAAAAGGGUCUAAAUUCGCUUAUGCUCCCUCCCUCUGUUCCUCCCUCUCCCUCUGCAACGUAAUGCAGGAGGCAUUAUAAAUAUCAGCCAAGUGGCACACGGGCUAAAUUUGUGGGAACAGCUGAUCAAAGCAAAGCACUGCGACGUCAAGACAGCAACGCCAAGAUGAUCGAUAAUGAAAUCGUACUUGAAGCACUGGGGGUGAUCUGCAAUGCCGAAGUAACUUCUCUUCAACAAAAACAAAGAUCAGAAGUUGACAUCGUUCCUUUCCUUCUCGGAGCUUUAAAAAAUUUAUUCAUAGCUGCUGAAACUCAGCUGCCUAUUACCCAGCUCAUUUCUACAGUUGUGGAUGGAGAUCAAACCUGGUAAAUGUUCUUCUAAACCUCUGAUAAUAACAGCUUUAAAUGUCAUUUCUGAAAUAGGAUUGUAGGUUUUAGAAAGGGUUAGGCUUUAGAAUAGUUAGAAUUGCUGGUGUAAAAAAUGUUUUAAUAAUUUUAGAUGACAUUAGUAAAACUGUGACUGUGCCGAGACUCAAAGUCAGGUUGUAGUUUCAAAAACCCAAAGAAGUUUAAUAGUUUCACAACAGGAUAGAAAAAUAUAUGUGCUCAUUUUUACCUGCAUUUCACUUUAUAUAGUGUAAAAAAGUCCAAUUAAAAUACACCACUUUCAUUUUUUUAACAACCAAAAUGUCAGAUUGUUCAGAGUCCUGAGACAUAAUCCAUUAGUUUUUGUAAAACAGCAUGACUUAUAAGCCAUGCACAAUCUGAGUUAAAACAUAUUUAAGUUGAUGACAUGAAGACACAGCUGAUCUGCUUUGAAACUUUAUUUUAACUUACAGUUCGGUGUCACAAAGCAGCUUGUCCAGGAUUCUAUAUGGAGAGCAGGUGUCUGGUGAAAGGCCUGGGAGUCAAAAUGAACAUGUAUCAGAAUUUGAAGUAGACAAAAAAAGGCGUUUCAUCAUCGACGAAGAAGAAUUCUUUGACCCCAGAUUUCACUACGACUUUACUGAAAUGAAAGACACAGAUAACUUUUACAGAGGUGACGAAGAGUACCGGCGUCCCUAUGGUUGGAAGCGUUAUGCUCUCAAGGUCCUGGACAAGUAUGAUGGAAAUGAAUGGCUAGGCACCGCAGGCUAUCGCACUUGGUCAGUGUCAGGGGAGUGGCCUGUGUCCUACCAUGGGACAUCUUAUGACUCUGCUUGUGAGAUCAUCAAAGGACGUUUCAAGCCAGGUUGGAUAAACCUAUAUGGCAGAGGGGUUUAUUCUGCACCUGACAUCACUGAGGCCCUCGCUUAUUGUAAAGAUUUCAAGUCCAAAAAAAACGGCAAGACGUACAAAGUGAUUCUGCAGAAUCGGAUCAACCCCAGUUACAGAGAGAAAUGGAACAAUGAUAAGUACUGGCUGGUUCGCAUCGAUCGUGGAUCAUCAGAAGAAGAAGAGGGAAAGAUGGUGGAGCGUGCCAUUCGUCCCUAUGGCCUUCUGUUGAAAGAGUUCUAAAAGACCAAAAAGGUCACUAGAGGUCGCAGAAAAGUGUGGAAAAAAACAGCAUCUCCAGAAAUAAUUGUUUUUGCUGCAAAGUGUUUCUUUGAUGCUUUUUGUUCUUGCAUGAGGGGAGAGAAAAUCUAAAAUGUAAACAUUGUUUAACAUGAAAUUAUGUAAGUUUAUAUGAAAUGCAAGCUUAGAGCAGAAAAUUGUAAAAGGUUUGAUAUUUGUGCAAUUUUACUUCUCAAAUUUUGAAGAUUUUAGAUGUUUUUCACUAUUAAAUAUGCUUUUAACUAUGUAUAUUGAGUUCCUUUAAAUGUCUCGACAUCUCUAAUCAGUCUAAUUUGUAAGUGGGAAGUUACUGAGCUCUUUUUUUGUCACAAUAUCCAUAUAUAUCCAUAUAUCCAGUAAGCGGGAGUUCACUGGGUAAAAACAGCUUGAGCUAGAGGUCAGAGAAGAAUUGCC